GUGUUUUACGGUUCUUUUAAUUUUCUUUUUAGAGAAUUGUAAUUAGAAAGCCAGAUAGCAUGCUUCAAAUUAUGAACAGCAAAUAAUGGCAUAAGCCCAGUUACUAAUGCUCUCAGUCAUUUUUUAUUGGAAAAGGAUUAGGGUGAAAUAAAAAGAAGGAAAUAAUAGACGAGGAAAACAGUGAGAGAGGGAGCUUUCGGAUCACCAAAAUCUGAAACUAAAGAAUACAUCACAUCUGGUCAUUGUCUUUCAGCUGUGCAAUGUCAAGAGGUAACCCAAGGAAGAAGAGCGAAUGAAAGACUGAGUCCAUCACCCAUUUAUCAAGAGUAAGGUGCAUGAAAUUGGCUUUUAACCUUGUAGUUAGGAGAUUUAAUUGGAAAUCAUGCUUUUGCCAGGGGAGAGGAGGGGGGAGGAAGGUGUCCAAACAGCAUGAUUAAUGACUUUUGGGACAUGAGACUUUGAGCUAAUGAGAGACUCGGGAGGGGCUGAGGUUCAGGUGACUAGCCAAUAAGGACAGGAAGACUGGAGGAAUAAGAUCUGCAACAUUAAAUGGACAGAUUACACUUAUCUGUUGGACAUGAGUGGAAACAUGUACCAGUGAGGGUAGCUGGUCUGGAACAUGGAGCAACAGAUGUCACCAUGGCCCUUUUGUGAAAGAGCAUUACCCUGCAGUCUUUAACACACCCAGCGCCAUGCAGGAAUCACCUCCCGCACCAAUGCAGCCCACAACAGAUGGACAAACAGAGGAACAGAUAGAGGGUAAAUGAGAAGGCCAGUUCACACAGCGUGUUUCAACAUGGAUGCUGAAGCUGGUGCCCAAUCUGAAACCAUUCAGCACAUUCCCACCACAGAAGAGGCAGUUCUGGACCAUAGAAUUUGAGGAUCCCAAAACAGGAGCACUAUGGCCAGUGUAAAUCUAUUCAGUGUAAUUAACACGUUUUUUGUUUUUUUUCCCUUCGUCAACAAUAACAAAGACAAAACAACAACAACAACAAAAAGUGUAUCAUGAUGAUAACUAAAAAAUAAAUUAUUAAAAAUCUAACAUACAAAAAGCAAAUUGUUGACAAAAAGUCUAAGAAAAAAAGAGAAAAAUACUAUAUAUACACACACACACACACACACACAUACACAUUAAUAAUAUAUAUAAAUUAUAAAAUAAACAAUAUGUAUGUAUGUGUGUGUGUGUUGGUAUAAAUAUAUAUAAACAAUGCAAUAAUAAUGCUUUGUACCUUUUAGGUACUAAUAUGUACACUUUAGAUACUUACAUUUAUCUUUAAGGUACCAAUAUGGACUCUUUAGGUACAAAGGUGUGCCUUUUGAAAAGGUACUGCCCCAGUGACAGCUUUUGUACCUUUUUUUUUCUGAGAGUGUAUGAACUAUGAACUAAGAUGACAGUACAGGUAAAACCAUUCCCGUUUCAAUAGGACUUACAUACACUAAACCAGUUUUAUAUUCUAUAUUCUAAGGAAUGGUUUGUUCAUGGUUUGUUCAUAUGGUUUGUUCAAUG
ensembl:lncRNA